rnacentral:rRNA from 1 species
CAGUAGCCGCGGUAAUACGAAGGGUGCAAGCGUUAAUCGGAAUUACUGGGCGUAAGGCGUGCGUAGGCGGUGAGUUAAGUCUGCUGUGAAAUCCCCGGGCUCAACCUGGGAAUGGCAGUGGAUACUGGCUCGCUAGAGUGUGUCAGAGGAUGGUGGAAUUCCCGGUGUAGCGGUGAAAUGCGUAGAGAUCGGGAGGAACAUCAGUGGCGAAGGCGGCCAUCUGGGACAACACUGACGCUGAGGCACGAAAGCGUGGGGAGCAAACAGGAUUAGAUACCCCCGUAGUCCCUGUCUCUUAUAC